UAUUGGACAAUGGGCGAAAGCCUGAUCCAGCAAUACCGCGUGUGUGAAGAAGGCCUUAGGGUUGUAAAGCACUUUCAAUUGGGAGGAAAACCUGCCGGUCAAUACCCGGUAGCUUGACAUUACCUUUAGAAGAAGCACCGGCUAACUCCGUGCCAGCAGCCGCGGUAAUACGGAGGGUGCGAGCGUUAAUCGGAAUUACUGGGCGUAAAGCGUGCGUAGGCGGUUCGUUAAGUCAGAUGUGAAAGCCCUGGGCUCAACCUGGGAACUGCAUUUGAAACUGGCGGACUAGAGUUUAGUAGAGGGGAGUGGAAUUUCAGGUGUAGCGGUGAAAUGCGUAGAUAUCUGAAGGAACACCAGUGGCGAAGGCGACUCCCUGGACUAGAACUGACGCUGAGUACGAAG
rnacentral:rRNA from 1 species